GAAUUGGAAAAUUCCGUUCGGAAAUUGCGGGAAUUUAUUGGCNCCCGUUUAUGACCGAAAGGGAAUCAGGUUAAUAUUCCUGAACCAGGACACAGAAGUCGGUCUCUGCCUAACCUGACCUCUGGCCAGGCGGCGAGACCCGUGCGCGGUAACGCAAACGAACACGGAGACUGGCGGCGGGAGUCCCGGGAAGAGUUUUCUUUUCUUUGUUAAGGACGGACUCCAUGGAUCGCUU
rnacentral:rRNA from 1 species